rnacentral:rRNA from 1 species
UACGGGGGGUGCGAGCGUUGUCCGGAAUCACUGGGCGUAAAGGGCGCGUAGGUGGUUUGAUAAGGGUGUGGUGAAAGCCCGGGGCUCAACCCCGGGUCUGCCGUGCCGACUGUCAAACUCGAGGGCUGUAGGGGCAGACGGAAUUCCGGGUGUAGCGGUGGAAUGCGUAGAUAUCGGGAGGAACACCUGUGGCGAAAGCGGCUCACUGGACCGCAACUGACGCUGAGGCGCGAAAGCUAGGGAGCAAC